UUGCAAAGCUAUGGAGACAUAGUGGAGGUUAGUCAAGGAGACAGGUGGUGGCAUGGUUGUCGUCAGCUCGUGUCGUGAGAUGUUGGGUUAAGUCCCGCAACGAGCGCAACCCUUAUUGCUAGUUACCAUCAUUAAGUUUGGGGGACUCUAGCGAGACUGCCAGUGAUAAACUGGAGGAAGGUGGGGAUGACGUCAAAUCAUCAUGCCCCUUAUGACCUGGGCUACAAACGUGAUACAAUGGCUGAAACAAAGGGCAGCGAAGCAGUGAUGUGGAGCGAAACCCAAAAAAGCAGUCUCAGUUCGGAUUGAAGUCUGCAACUCGACUUCAUGAAGUUGGAAUCGCUAGUAAUCGCGGAUCAGAACGCCGCGGUGAAUACGUUCUCGGGGUUU
rnacentral:rRNA from 1 species